GCUUGAUCAAAGCCAGUGGUUGGGGUCCAAGGAGAAAAGCAGGAGGGCAGGCAACAUAUUACAGCCUAGGCUUGGACCUGGUGAGACACCACCUUCACCACAUCCAUAGGCCAAAAUAAGUGCCUAAACCAGCUCAAGUUAAAGCUUGGUGACGAUAUCCAUUGUCAAGAUCCUGAUGUGAAACUUGAAACUGUUCUCUAUUCUGCAAAAAGGAA
rnacentral:lncRNA from 1 species